AGUGAACGCUGGCGGUAGGCCUAACACAUGCAAGUCGAACGGCAGCACAGUAAGAGCUUGCUCUUACGGGUGGCGAGUGGCGGACGGGUGAGGAAUACAUCGGAAUCUACUUUUUCGUGGGGGAUAACGUAGGGAAACUUACGCUAAUACCGCAUACGACCUACGGGUGAAAGCAGGGGAUCUUCGGACCUUGCGCGAUUGAAUGAGCCGAUGUCGGAUUAGCUAGUUGGCGGGGUAAAGGCCCACCAAGGCGACGAUCCGUAGCUGGUCUGAGAGGAUGAUCAGCCACACUGGAACUGAGACACGGUCCAGCCUCCUACGGGAGGCAGCAGUGGGGAAUAUUGGACAAUGGGCGCAAGCCUGAUCCAGCCAUACCGCGUGGGUGAAGAAGGCCUUCGGGUUGUAAAGCCCUUUUGUUGGGAAAGAAAAGCAGCAGGUUAAUACCCCGCUGCUCUGACGGUACCCAAAGAAUAAGCACCGGCUAACUUCGU
rnacentral:rRNA from 1 species